rnacentral:rRNA from 1 species
AGUGAACGCUGGCGGUAGGCCUAACACAUGCAAGUCGAACGGCAGCACAGUAAGAGCUUGCUCUUACGGGUGGCGAGUGGCGGACGGGUGAGGAAUACAUCGGAAUCUACUUUUUCGUGGGGGAUAACGUAGGGAAACUUACGCUAAUACCGCAUACGACCUACGGGUGAAAUCAGGGGAUCUUCGGACCUUGCGCGAUUGAAUGAGCCGAUGUCGGAUUAGCUAGUUGGCGGGGUAAAGGCCCACCAAGGGGACGAUCCGUAGCUGGUCUGAGAGGAUGAUCAGCCACACUGGAACUGAGACACGGUCCAGACUCCUACGGGAGGCAGCAGUGGGGAAUAUUGGACAAUGGGCGCAAGCCUGAUCCAGCCAUACCGCGUGGGUGAAGAAGGCCUUCGGGUUGUAAAGCCCUUUUGUUGGGAAAGAAAAGCAGCAGGUUAAUACCCCGCUGUUCUGACGGUACCCAAAGAAUGAGCACCGGCUAACUUCGUG